UCCACGGGGCACGCGCGGUACUGAGGGCUCUGAGGGCUCUGAGGGCUCUGAGGGCCCUGUGCCCGGGGCUGGCGGGCCGGGCAGCGCCCCAUCAUGCAUGGGCAACCGGGACCAGCGCUUCCUAGGACCUUGACACAGCUGCAUGUAACCCUACCCCAAAGAUACAGAUUAAUCUUAGCGGUGGAUGGAAAUACGGGCCGAGACUAGAGAAGGCAAGCUUCGUCUACACCGAGAAUCUGUCAGAAGAGUCCCUGUGCUGAGGACCAUACAACCUGAAGCAUACACUGCCAGUUUGCAUUGUACAUGUUGAUGGAGUGGUACUUGAAGCUCAGGGAAAUAAAAUCAGCCUUAAAUUUA